rnacentral:lncRNA from 1 species
UUUUUUCAGGAACUCAUUGUGUCUUCUUUCUCCCAUCCCAGGUAUUCUUUCCAAAUGGCUAUGUAGUCAAAUUCCCUGAAGAGGAAGUUGACAGUCUGUACAGAGUCCCAGAUCCAAAACCCUUUUAGGCAAACAUUCUGUCCAGGAUGGAAACAUUUCCCUUUGUUUCAGGAGCCUCCCAUCUCACAUUUGGGAAAUCCUUGGACUUCCCGGAUCAGGAAACUCUAAAGUCCAUUGUCUCCAUCCCCAUCCUCAUACCUGAAAAUCACUCAUCCCAGCCUUCCAUUUUAUGAGUCCAUCUAAUUAAACUGGGAGCUCUUUGAGAGAAAGAACUGUUUGUUUUUGCCUUUUUUUUUAUCCCCAGACGUUAGCAAAGAGACGGGUGCAUAGCAGGUGCUUCAUAAAUGCUAGUUGACUGAUUGACUCCAUUUCCUUUUCUCUAAUUUCUAGUCAAAGCCCCAAACUCUUAUCUUAACUGACUUCAGCUCCUCAAUCUCUCCUGUCCUUUAGACUAGUGGUGUU